UCCACGGUCCGCGACGGCGGACACGCUGAACCCCACCCGUUUGCCCACGGCCAAGCAGGUACCAUUCUUUCUGUUCGCCGGUUGUCCAAUAGUCUCUUCUCUCUCUGUGAGUUCCAUAGAACGCGGCCAGAAACCUCUUGCUCUCAGUUUCCGUCGAUGUGCAAGCCGCCAGGCACCACUAGCUUUAUCCCCCUGUUCCCUCAAAUCCCUCUUCUCGCUGAGCUGGACACCGCCAGGAGCCACAUCCCACCUCAACGUCGGGCCAACGCCAGGAGGCAGCAGCGCCGCCCUUCCUCUCCUGGCACGGCGGCAACAUCUCGCAGGCAGCGCCCCACCCUGCCACCUGGCACACGGCCUGCAGGCUGCAGCAUCGCAAAGCCACUGUUCCAGUCGAGCGUCGCGUGCAACCAUGCAUUUUUUUAAUUCCCUUUGGUUUACACCCAUAACCAAUGUUUUUAAGUCCCUCUCUACUACUGCUGAAAGCCUGUUUGCUCAAGUAAGUUUGUCCUUCGCGCCUAAGGUGUUUUAACUGUGCGAUAUGCGUUCAGGAAUUCAAAACACUCGGUUAGCCAAAAAGUACUACAACUUGGCUGCUUGCCACUUUCACUAUAAAGAAAAGGUAUAUUCUCCCACUCCGUCUCUGGUGUGAUUAGCUUUUCGGGGUUGGGAUGUGUGAGUAUGUGGACUUUGAUAUCCGUAUCUACAUGAUCAAUUAUUGGUAAAAAGGUAUCUCAACCUUAAAUGUAUCUAUUAUACAUAGAAGAACUAUCAACUAAGUUCAUGUUUUACCUUAUAAUUAUACAGUUGAAACUUCGCAUGUUGUCCCUACGUACAUAAUUCUAUGGAUGCACAUUCUUUUUUUUCCCAAAAAAAAAUCUCACUUGAAAGAACGAAUAUAGGGAAUCCGAUCUACAUCUUCUUAAUUGUACACGAUUUGCUGGUCGUCUGUUAACACACUAUAUUUUUCCCUUCGCAUAUUUAUUUACAUAGUUUACCGGUCGUUUAUUAGCCCAAUUUCUAAUUGAUUCUACAGGUCAGCCCUCCGUGUGGAGCGAAAACAUCUCUAAUUCCCAGGGAUUUUAACUCCGAGCACAUCAGGUACGUUUGUUCAAUACAUCUAAUCUCCCAAAUCCAUCAGCUGCUUUGCCACCUAGAACGCAGUAAUGAAUAAAUAUCAUCACAUCAACAAACAAUGUAUCGCACAACUUUAGGUCUUGGCUUAUCCCCCAUUGAUAUAUAACUAAAUUAGACGCAGAGAAUCUACUUAAUAAGAUACGUAACAUAUUAAAUGCGUUUAAAUAUUAUGACUGCUUCACUAACAUAUUGUUCGAGCAUUUCUUUUACAUAACACUUUCUAAAACAUAAGAUAGAUAAGUAGUUGAAAUCACAUACACAAACUGCACUGCUCAACAGAUUCUACUCCUUUCUUUUUUAAAACAAAAGUUGUAUGUAAUAUAAAAGUUCUUAUAAGCAUCUGAGUAUAGCUCAGAACCAAACCAAACAAUUCAAUAAAUAGUUACAUAUACACACCAAUAGUUCUGUAUCAAAUCAUAGAAACGGAUUUCAAAUGUGAUGCACAAACCAACCUGACAGCAAACCGUUUUAAAAGUGGGGGAUGUUGCAUAUUCUCUUUCGCCUGGGAGCAAUAUACUCAGAAUAGCUACAAGAAAAAAAAUAUCUGUUAUCCUACGUACCCGAAAGGUACACAAAUCAUGAAAGCAUGAACAAAAAUAAGAUCUUCCACUCCCCAUUCAUCAGCACUCAACCUGAUAUCCCCCACCACACACACGAUCUUUUUACUUUCUUAUAUAAAUCGUGUGAUGUAUUCAUAUCCAUUCUGUGCUAUGUUCAAUGCUUAACAAGAAACAUUCUUACAUGUAGUUAAGAGAUCGCACUGUUGUUGUGCUUAUUAUUAUUUAAGCAGACAUUUUGUUCUUCUGAUGAUGUUAUUAUUUUUUUUUUUGCACGUCUCUUUGUUCCUUACUAAGGAUUCAAGUUUCUGUUAAUGUGCAUAUGUCAUAUUCUUUUUAUGUACAACUUUUCCAUAGCAUCUAACCAUCUAAAUAACCCCCGUGCUUAAAUACCAAAUUCCUAAAACGAGUUGUCUAGCUAAUCAGUCCAUUAGUAAAGUAAAUAAAACAACUCACUUUUUUAUAAUUCAUGAACAGGAUCAAGCAAGGACCCGUGCGCAUCCAAAAAGAAACUCCUAAGAAACCCUCCCAAGACUGAAUGCUACCUUCUACCAUCAGCAGCCUUUGAAGUUCUAAAGUGUUUAUUUUAUAUGUUAGUAUGCAUGUUCAACCUUUUGAAGACAAUUUGUGUAAACAUAACAACUUUGUUUUAGAUGUUGAAACAGGCAAAAAUAACCACCGUCAUAAAUUACCUAACUCUGUUUAAUAACUACUGUUCAACCUUCUGUGAUAUACAUGACCAACUUUCUUAAUUGUCACUUAUAUUUCAGAAUGUGUAUCUACAUUUUACAAAUGAUAUAACAUUAUUAUCACUUACAUUACAUUUUUCUACAACGCGCGC
rnacentral:lncRNA from 1 species